UCCAUCUCUCCAGCAACCUUACCAUUAAUAACUUUGACUUUUCAGCAUGGCAAAGAUAUUCCUUCUGUUGGCUCUUUUCUCGCUUGCUCUCUUGAUCACCCCAGGUUUCACUUGGACCGAUGAUCCAACUCUCAGAUGCAGAGGUUUAGGGGGAUACUGCGAUUCUUCUAUUUGUCGCUGGCCUCUCAAAUCUGUAGGAUUCAAAUGCAAAAAUGGUACCCCAUGCUGUAAAAGUAUCUUUGUCUGAUUUAAUCCCGCACUUCUCAGGAGAUGAGGAGAACAAAAAGAUGCACUAUCAUAUCCACCACAAAUCUUGGAUGUUAUUUCGUCAGUACGAAUCUGAAUUGCCCUUACCUGGCUUCUGCUUCGUUUCCUCACUUUGCUUUCCACCUUGCUUUCAAAUAUACCUUGCUUUGUAGGUUCAUCGGGGAAAAGAAAUGUUUCUUACUAUCAAUGAAAAUUAUGUUGCAUAUAAAUCAUAAUGUGGAGUGGAUGUGGU